rnacentral:rRNA from 1 species
AUUGAACGCUGGCGGCAGGCCUAACACAUGCAGGUCGAGCGGAUGAAGGGAGCUUGCUCCUGGAUUCAGCGGCGGACGGGUGAGUAAUGCCUAGGAAUCUGCCUGGUAGUGGGGGACAACGUUUCGAAAGGAACGCUAAUACCGCAUACGUCCUACGGGAGAAAGCAGGGGACCUUCGCCUUGCGCUAUCAGAUGAGCCUAGGUCGGAUUAGCUAGUUGGUGAGGUAAUGGCUCACCAAGGCGACGAUCCGUAACUGGUCUGAGAGGAUGAUCAGUCACACUGGAACUGAGACACGGUCCAGACUCCUACGGGAGGCAGCAGUGGGGAAUAUUGGACAAUGGGCGAAAGCCUGAUCCAGCCAUGCCGCGUGUGUGAAGAAGGUCUUCGGAUUGUAAAGCACUUUAAGUUGGGAGGAAGGGUUGUAGAUUAAUACUCUGCAAUUUUGACGUUACCGACAGAAUAAGCACCGGCUAACUCUGUGCCAGCAGCCGCCGUAACAC